rnacentral:rRNA from 1 species
UGAGUUUGAUUCCUGGCUCAGGACGAACGCUGGCGGCGUGCUUAACACAUGCAAGUCGAACGAUGAACCGGCUUCGGCUGGGGAUUAGUGGCGAACGGGUGAGUAACACGUGGGCAAUCUGCCCUGCACUCUGGGACAAGCCCUGGAAACGGGGUCUAAUACCGGAUAUGACCUGGUGAGGCAUCUCAUUGGGUGGAAAGCUCCGGCGGUGCAGGAUGAGCCCGCGGCCUAUCAGCUUGUUGGUGGGGUGAUGGCCUACCAAGGCGACGACGGGUAGCCGGCCUGAGAGGGCGACCGGCCACACUGGGACUGAGACACGGCCCAGACUCCUACGGGAGGCAGCAGUGGGGAAUAUUGCACAAUGGGCGAAAGCCUGAUGCAGCGACGCCGCGUGAGGGAUGACGGCCUUCGGGUUGUAAACCUCUUUCAGCAGGGAAGAAGCGCAAGUGACGGUACCUGCAGAAGAAGCGCCGGCUAACUACGUGCCAGCAGCCGCGGUAAUACGUAGGGCGCAAGCGUUGUCCGGAAUUAUUGGGCGUAAAGAGCUCGUAGGCGGCUUGUCGCGUCGGAUGUGAAAGCCCGGGGCUUAACCCCGGGUCUGCAUUCGAUACGGGCAGGCUAGAGUUCGGUAGGGGAGAUCGGAAUUCCUGGUGUAGCGGUGAAAUGCGCAGAUAUCAGGAGGAACACCGGUGGCGAAGGCGGAUCUCUGGGCCGAUACUGACGCUGAGAGCGAAAGACUACCCC